ACAUUUUUGACUUCACUUUCCUGUUUCAGUACUUCACUUCACCUUCAACUUUCUAUUUCACGUUUCAAUACGCAUGUUUCUGAAGAACUGAAGAACUGAGGUGAAGAGAGGUGAAGAUAGCUGAAGAAAUGGAUCUCUUUUCUGAUACAAGUUGAAGAGUCGAAGAACUGAGCUGAAGAGUUGAAGUCUUCGAAGAAUUGGUAUCUCAACUUGUCUUCUCCACAUAACGAUUCCUUGAAGAAAGAAAUGAAUAUUGUUGGGUUGUCGACAUGAUGAUGAAUUGAAGCUAUUAGUCUCUCCGUCACACUUUUCUCUCAACUGUCUCAUUGAAGAACACGAUUUCAAAGAGAUUUUUCUUGGAUUUUGGGUUUAUCAAAUCAGUUUUCCCAAUUUUUUUUCUAGUCCAAGAUUCUGCCCGGAAUUCUCGUCCGUCGUUAGUGUUCAAGUUUCUUGGUGAAGUUCGUUUCCCUGCACUUCCUGUUCCAGUUCACUGCCUGAAGAAAGAUUUCUGAUGAACCAUAGAGAUGAUGAACCAAGGUGAAGAGAGGUAACGACAGUUGAAGAAUCGAUUCCCUUUUGCGAUACAUGCUAAAAGAGUUGAAGUCGUCGAAGAAUGAGAUGAAGAGUUGAAUUCAUCGAAAAAAUGUUGUUUAAGUCGUCUUCUCCAAUAAAGACUUCUUGAAGAAGCACGAUUUCAGACAAAUUUUGUUGGGAUAGGGUUUAUCAGGCUGUAGGCAUUAGAAGCAAAACAGUGAGAUCUGUAGUUUGAAGUCGCUUCUGUUUUUGUCACUGUCCAGAGUUCGUCGCUCCCAGAGGUUAUAGACUAAGUUUACAGUACUGGCACUUCUGGAAAAUCAACUGUUGCAAUAUUAUAUAGUACUGGACAUUCUGGAAACUAAGAUACUGCAAUAUGCUAUAAUAAGCUAUCCAUCUAUACAACCUUGUUUCAGAAUUAUAUUGCUUUUACUUCUUUCACUUAUAGUAAAAGAAACCACCAACUGUAAACAUCUAUUAAUUUUUUUGUUGUUGCUCUUAAUUCUUAAAACGUGUGAGAUAUGUUGAAGUCAGCUCAUAAUUUGUAGAUGUCAUGCUAGUCAAUUUUUUCAUGUUUAAAGGUUGAAAUGGUUGGGUUGCAAUAAAUCCCUGAGUAUCUUCAAGAAAUUUUGUAUCGCACUAGAAAAACUCUAGUUUUGUUGCUUGAACUUGGAUGAUACCAAAUUCACAUUUUGUUAACUGACAAUGACGUGAAAAUGAAAAGUGGAAAAUGACUGCAUUGGAGGAUUGUAUCAGUCAAGUAGAUUACAAUUGUUUUGGUGUUAAGACUUGUUAAUUGAAGGGAGAUAUAUUUAGAAGUGCUUGAUGCAGAGAUCAUGUCAUGAUUUUUUCCUGCUCUUGCUAAAUGACUUAUUUGCGAGCAACAUGCCCCCUUCCAUGUUGCUUUAACCAUACAUUAGUCAACAACUUUUGUGGGCAUUGACUAUAGAAUUGUUAAGUACACAAAAUUUGGUUUCUGCUCUGCAAUCUUUUCAGUUUGAUGCUUCUUUUAAUGUCUAGUGAUGCUUGUCCUCUACCAUUCUAUGUGCGUUAAACUUUUCAAGUACAGGUAAUAUGUAUUUAUAUUUUUAAAUAGGCAUUACCUUCUACCAAUCAAUCGGAAUCACGAGGCUUAAGUAUUAUAUUUGCUUCUGCUAGGCAAGCUACCCAAAUUUUGUUGGUUUACUUACUACAGGGAAAGAUAUCAAAGAGAUUCGAACAAAACGAGAAGAAUUAAUCAAUCGACAAUAUUAAAGAAAAAAGGUUCAAAUCCAAACAAACCUCAAAGUCUAUUGAAAAAUCUGGAUGUUGAUAUGCAAUACCAAUCAAGUGUUGAAUUGGCCAACAAAUUCAAGAUUAAGAGCGAACAACUUGCAAACGUACGCAACGAUAAAGCUAAGAAAGAUCAGGCACCAAUACCACAUAAAAGGAAAAAUCCUGAGUGUUUCGUUCCACAACAAGGAAAGACUAAAUUUCUUGGGCACAAAUCAGUAAUUCAAUCGUCUUCAAGGGAAGAGCUAAGAACCUCACAUAUGAUUGCAGGGAAAGGACAAACUAAAUAGAGGUUAUUUCAAUCUAAAGAGUCCAUUCAAGAUAAAGGAAUUAAACUUCCUGUGAACUCUAGGUUCCAAACGUCACUGAAGGAAGGUGUUACUGCUUCAGUACGGGUGAUAGGAAAAACACUAGGUAAUGAAGUGGUACAACAUGAUAUUGAGGAUCUACUGAACUUCAAUCAUGUGAAGAGGAAGUUGGUUUGACCAGCCACCCGUAUUGGUCAGUUUCAGGAUAAGCAACAACAAGGUAAUGGACUGGUACAUAAUGAACAUGAUAUUCUUGAUGUACCAAAUUGCAAGCAGGCAAUAAGGAAGCCGAUCAUACCAGCUAUUACAAUUGAUCAUUUUCUAAAAAUUCAAGGGAUACGCCUGGAUGAUGAAACAAAACGUGAUAACUACACAACAGCUAAUGUGGAAUUUAUGCAUACUCCUAUUAUUAAUGAACACAACAAAGGAUUGGAUGAUCUUGUGGAUAAAGAAGGACUUGGUGGAGAUGAAUGUGAUGCCGAAGAGGAAAUUAACAUUGAUUGUAAUCCAAAAGAAAUAUCAAAGCCAAAAAAAGUUUGAGGACAAACAACAUGUAAGGAUAUUCACGCAAGAAAUUUAGAAGAAAGAAAAGAGGUGAUAUUUGAUAAAGGACAAGAAGUGGGACCAACUAAUAAGAUUGUGUCACAAUUAAGCAACUUUAUAGGAACCAUUGCAAGAAAUCCUAGAUUCAUCAGCUUGAUGUACACUAGUUGGCAUGUGGUGCCAAAGGAUACUAAAAAGCACAUGUUGAAAUAUAUCAAUCCCAAAUUUCUAAUUCCAGUAGAAGGAAAGAAGUGGGUGAUGACUGGUCUUCAUUAUGCUUGGAGGCGACACAAACAAAAAAUUUAAAAGAAUUUUUUUGAUAAAAUAGUACCGUUGAGGAGAUGCUAGCAAAACGUUCUGAUGGCAUUCGGAUAUUGGAAACACCCAACUGUUCAAGUCAUAUGUGAGAUGAAUUCUCAAAACAGGAAAAAACAAAAGUGGAGGCAUCGAAUGGGACCUAUUAAUUUUGCUAGAGUUCGCGUGGCAUUGCGUGCAACCAAAGACAACAACGAAGAAUCAUCAAGUCCUGAAAUGUUUAUUGCAACUCGUACCAAGACGGGAAAGGAAAUCCAGGAUGAUACCCAGUUGCUAUAGAUGAACUUCAGAAUCUCCAAAAUUCUGGGGAAACAACUGAUGAGGCAUUUAGGGACGUGUUUGGAAAGGAGCAACCUGGUCGACUUAGGUGCUAUGGUAGAUCAGUGACAACAAGUACUUUGAAAGAAUAUGAGGAAAUUAACAAUCUAAAACAAAAGCAUGCCAAUGAAAUCACUUCUCUAAAGGAAGAAUUGAGGGAAGACAUGCGACAUUUAUUCACUCAAUUGCUUCAAAACAACCCCGGAAUGAAUUUUUAAGAUAUACCAGCGUGUGUUGGAUCUAACCUUGCUUCACCUAUUGAUGCAAGUAGCGCACAAGCGAUAAGAGGCACAAAUCUUCCAUAUUCUUCGGGGUCAGCUCAUAAUUCGGUUUUUCAAAAGGAAAUCUGUCCAAAGAUGAACGCGGAAAGUUUUGAGCGAGAAAUGCAUAAG